rnacentral:rRNA from 1 species
GACGAACGCUGGCGGCGUGCUUAACACAUGCAAGUCGAACGGAGUGGCGAACGGGUGAGUAACACGUGGAUGAUCUGCCUUGCACUACGGGAUAAGCUUGGGAAACUGGGUCUAAUACCGGAUAGUGCAAGAUGAGCUCGCGGCCUAUCAGCUUGUGGGUGGGGUAAUGGCCCACCAAGGCGUCGUCGGGUAGCCGGCCUGAGAGGGUGUACGGCCACAUUGGGACUGGGAUACGGUCCAGACUCCUACGGGAGACAUAAGUGGGGAAUAUUGCACAGUGGGCGGAAGCCUGAUGCAGCGACGCCGCGGGGGGGAUGAAGGUUUUCGGGUUGUAAACUCCUUUCGACAGGGACGCGGUACCUGUAUAAGAAGCACCGGCUAACUACGUGCCAGCAGCCGCGGUAAUUC